CAAACACAACACUGUUACAGUAGGUGGCAUGGGGAUUAACAUCCUGUUACAGAUGUCACACAAACACAACACUGUUACAGUAGCUGGGGUAGGUGGCAUGGGGAUUAACAUCCUGUUACAGAUGUCACACAAACACAACACUGUUACAGUAGGUGGCAUGGGGAUUAACAUCCUGUUACAGAUGUCACACAAACACAACACUGUUACAGUAGGUGGCAUGGGGAUUAACAUCCUGUUACAGAUGUCACACAAACACAACACUGUUAC